AAGAUAAUUUAAUUUAAAUUGUCAAUUUAUUUUUGCUUUAUAGUUUAUCUUA
rnacentral:tRNA from 1 species